AGUCGAACGGACUUAACCUAUUCUUUAAGAUUAGGAGCGGUUAGUGGCGGACUGGUGAGUAAUGUAUAAGUAACCUGCCUAUCAGAGGGGAACAACAGUUGGAAACGACUGCUAAUACCGCAUAUGCCAUAAGAGCCACAUGGUUCAAGUGGGAAAGGAGCAAUCCGCUGAUAGAUGGACUUAUAUCUGAUUAGCUAGUUGGUGUGGUAACGGCAUACCAAGGCGAUGAUCAGUAGCCGAACUGAGAGGUUAAUCGGCCACAUUGGGACUGAGAUACGGCCCAGACUCCUACGGGAGGCAGCAGUCGGGAAUAUUGCGCAAUGGAGGAAACUCUGACGCAGUGACGCCGCGUGCAGGAAGAAGGUUUUCGGAUUGUAAACUGCUUUAGACAGGGAAGAAAAAAGACAGUACCUGUAGAAUAAGCUCCGGCUAACUACGUGCCAGCAGCCGCGGUAAUACGUAGGGAGCAAGCGUUAUCCGGAUUUAUUGGGUGUAAAGGGUGCGUAGACGGGAAAUUAAGUUAGUUGUGAAAUCCCUCGGCUCAACUGAGGAACUGCAACUAAAACUGAUUUUCUUGAGUACUGGAGAGGAAAGUGGAAUUCCUAGUGUAGCGGUGAAAUGCGUAGAUAUUAGGAGGAACACCAGUGGCGAAGGCGACUUUCUGGACAGAAACUGACGUUGAGGCACGAAAGUGUGGGGAGCAAACAGGAUUAGAUACCCUGGUAGUCCACACCGUAAACGAUGGAUACUAGGUGUAGGGUGUGAUAAACGCUCUGUGCCGUCGCAAACGCAGUAAGUAUCCCACCUGGGGAGUACG
rnacentral:rRNA from 1 species